rnacentral:rRNA from 1 species
CCCUUAGAUGUUCGGGGCCGCACGCGCGCUACACUGAAGGAAUCAGCACGUCUUUCUCCUUGUCCGAAAGGACUGGGUAACCCGCUGAACCUCCUUCGUGCUAGGGAUUGGGGCUUGUAAUUCUUCCCCAUGAACGAGGAAUUCCCAGUAAGCGCGAGUCACAAGCUCGCGUUGAUUACGUCCCUGCCCUUUGUACACACCGCCCGUCGCUACUACCGAUUGGAUGGUUUAGUGAGAUCCUCGGAUUGGUCCCGGCGCGGCCUCUGGUCGUGCCGGAGUGCCGAAAAGAAUGUCGAACUUGAUCAUCUAGAGGAAGUAAAAGUCGUAACA